rnacentral:lncRNA from 13 species
CACUUUCAAGGGUAUUUUCUCCUAUUAUUUCGUAAGUGGGAUAACACGUUUAUCAACUUUAAAAGCGGUAUAACUUUCCUGUUUCCUCCAACUACAGUGUAUGAUAUACCAUUUUGAAUCUAUGAGUCUGUACUUUUAAAAAUAUAUUCAGACAGAUGGCCUGAUAGUGUUGUAAUGUAGUUUAUUCUUCAUGUUGAACUGUGUAGUUACUGUAACUGCCAGAGACUGAGAGUACAUUCCAAAUGGCACCCUAUUUCCUAGUCAAAGUAGUGCACUUUAUAGCGAAUAGGGUGCCAUUUGGGAUGCCAGCUGACAGAGAACAAAUUAUAGAACAGAAGCUUAUGCAGAUCAGUUGAGGAGCUCACAGAAGCCUAAACACUGAGGAAGACAACAGCAACCAUUUUGAGGGAAUACCAAUACAACUAUGGAACUUGGAGUGUUUCUCAUCAUCAUUUUUUCAGGCAGACUCUGCUCUGUAACAAGCACAACUACAGAUCCUAAUAUGACAACCGCAACAGAGGCACCUGCUACAACAACCACAGCUACAGCUCCUACUACAACAACCACAACAGUAGCUCCUACCACAACAACCACAGCUGCAGUUCCUACUACAACAACAAUAACUGAGGCUCCAUCUACAACUACAGCUCCUACUACAACAACCACAGAUCCAAAUCCGACAACAACAGUUCUGACUACAACAACCACAACUACAGCUUCUACUACAACAACAAUAACAGGAGCAGCAGCUCUUACUACAACCACAGUUCCUACUACAACUACAGCUCCUACUACAACAACCACAGAUCCAAUUACGACAACAACAGCUCCUGCUAAGUUAACAGCAGCUGUAGCUCUAAUCACAACAGCUCCUACUAUGACAACCACUGCUCCUAAUAAAACAACCACAUCUCCUAAUAAAACAACCACAUCUCCUACUACAACAACUGCAGCUCCUAAUACAACAACUGCAGCUCUUAAUACAACAACUACAGCUCCUACUACAACACCUACAGCUCCUACUACAACAACUACAGCUCCUAAUACAACAACUGCUGUUCUUACUACAACAAUUACAGCUCCUAAUACAACAACUACAGCUCCUAAUACAACAACUGCAACUCCUAAUACAACAACUGCAGCUCUUAAUACAACAAUUGCAGCUCCUAAUACAACUGCAGCUCCUACUACAACAACUGCAGCUCCUAAUACAACAACUGCAACUCUUACUACAACAACUACAGCUCCUAAUACAACAACCACUACUGAGCUACCAGACACUACACAAAUGAGCACUAUAACUCCACCUGCAGGACAGUACACCAUGCAUAGUAGGUCUGGAUAUAAGUUGGUACUGAGGGUGAAAUUUACCAUGACAACAGACCUUACCGAAUCUGAAAUCUUGAAGCAGCUUCAGUGGGAACUGAUCAGACAAGGGAUGCCAGAGACCUUUACACUGCAUAUGAGAAUCAUUUCAGGACAGAAUAGAAGAAGAGUUAUACACUUUAAUGACGAUGGCCCGUUGGUGGAGGAUUAUGAACCCCAUGUCAUAUCACUUAAUCCGGCAUAGCAAAGACACGACAACAGAUACCUUACAAUAGAUUACCCCCAAGAUUACACUCUUAACCCAUGUCCUGCCGUAACUGGACCUAAUGUAUUAGGCAACUAAAUAUCUAUAGUACCUUCAGAAAGUUCACACUUCUUGACUUGUCUCACAUUUUAUGUUACAAAGUGUCAUUAAAAAUGAUUGAAUUGUAUUGUUUUGUAAACGAUCUACACAAAAUACUCUGUAAUGUGGAGAGAGAAAAAGUGGAAGUGGACAUUAUUUUUGAACAUUUGUAAAUUAAAUAUGAUGUAUUAAUCAACAGUCAGUUGCUAUGUUCUCAUAGUGAAAGUCAUCUAACUCAGAAACUUCAAUGACCCAAACACUUGUAACUGAACUCAAGGCCACUGAUAUUUUUUUUGUUGGUAUUAUAUACUAGGCUAAAUCAUUUGGAAAAUGAGAGAGUUAACAGACUAAGGCAGGGUAUAGGCUAACGGAAAACAACACGGUCAUUGAGGUGAGAAUCACCACAGGUCAACAUCAUACAUGAACUUCUGUACUUGAACUCAACAAACACAACAGUACACACAUUCAGACUUUUGAGGAUGAGAUGGUCUUAUCAACUGAGAGGGAAAAUAUAACAGAAUCCACCAAAACUGCACCAAAAUUAUAGGUUCAUCCAAGGCCACAUUUUUAUUUUGAAUUAUUUUUUCAAUCAUUUUUAUCCAGUUGGAUAAACACUCCAAACAGCCUACCCGAUCUCUCGGAGGAGUCUGCAUGGUCCUAAAGCAAUUGUUUUGAAUAACAUUCCAAUGAUAAAACUGGUGGGGGCAAAAAUGCAAUUUCAGAAUGUGGGGGGGCAAAUGUCCAUCCCGAGUGAAAGUUGCACCCCUGGUUUCAUCCACUAGGAGUCGCCAUUCCCUAGGCUAUCAGUUCGCAUCCAAAUGUGGACAAUGCAGCAACAGUAUUAAUCAGGAUAUGUAAUUAAGACUAACAGAAAUACAAUAAUCAGUUACUGGCACGGCAUCACGCAAAAGGGAAAUUCAAUGCAAAAAUGUAUUUAUGUAAAUUCGAGUGUCGUCUGGUUUAGUUGAGGGUCCGUUAUGACGCAUUGGUACAAAGGGGAAAGGGUCGGUCAGGGGUCCUGGUGUUGGAGCUUUUGGUCAAAGGCCUUCGUCAGAGCUCAAGCAUAGGGUGUCUUUCUCUCUAAGUUUGUUAGGGUACUCUGUUUUAAUAUAAUGUUGAUGUGGGUCCCCUUUAGGGAGCGAUGAAGACUCAGUGGUUUGUUGUGAGUAAACAGACAUGUGGGUUCAGCGGAGUUCCUCUUUGG